UAUGUGUAUAUGUUUGUGUGUGUGUGUAUAUAUAUAUAUAUAUGCGCACGCACACACACUAUAUAUAUAUA